rnacentral:tRNA from 1 species
GUCUUUCUAGUAUUAACAUUAGUAUGCGUGACUUCCAAUCACCCGGCCCUGGUUAAAACCCAGGGAAAGACA